rnacentral:rRNA from 1 species
UGGGGAAUAUUGCACAAUGGGCGCAAGCCUGAUGCAGCCAUGCCGCGUGUAUGAAGAAGGCCUUCGGGUUGUAAAGUACUUUCAGCGGGGAGGAAGGCGAUAAGGUUAAUAACCUUGUCGAUUGACGUUACCCGCAGAAGAAGCACCGGCUAACUCCGUGCCAGCAGCCGCGGUAAGACGGAGGGUGCAAACGUUAAUCGGAAUUACUGGGCGUAAAGCGCACGCAGGCGGUCUGUCAAGUCGGAUGUGAAAUCCCCGGGCUCACCCUGGGAACUGCAUUCGAAACUGGCAGGCUAGAGUCUUGUAGAGGGGGGUAGAAUUCCAGGUGUAGCGGUGAAAUGCGUAGAGAUCUGGAGGAAUACCGGUGGCGAAGGCGGCCCCCUGGACAAAGACUGACGCUCAGGUGCGAAAGCGUGGGGAGCAAACA